rnacentral:sRNA from 1 species
AUUCUGCCCAAGCGGGGAGGGAUGAGAAGCUUCGACCAAGGUUCGACUUGAGCGCCAGCGAGAGAGCGUUGCCGCAGGCAACGACCCGAAGGGCGAAGCGCGCAGCGCUGAGUAAUCCUUCCCCCACCACCA